AAUUGAAAUUCUUUGCAAAAAUGAGAGAAUUUCAAUUUCUUUGCAACUUCUCUCUACACCUGGUCUCGUUCCUCUCUAUGGUUGGUCUCGAUCACUUUGCACCUACACCUCACUUGCUUUCACUCAUUUCUCUCCACCCACACACUCUCCUUUGCAACCCUCAUUCUCACUCCCUCACAGUCACGAAAACCUUCAUUCAAAUCAUACACUCUCGGUGGCUAUUACCUCGUUUAGAUUGCACUCUCACGAUGGCUACGACCUCUGUUCUCUCUUGAUUCAGAUCGCACACUCUCUUCAUACAAGGAUGAAAACUCUACACCAGUUAGUAAUUCCAUCUGGUUUUUAAUUAUCUUUGCUGUUGAGUAAGGCAUGUAGGAGAGAAGGCACAACUUGUGGUCAUUAAGAAUGCAGGGCAUGCAAUCAAUGUAGAGAAGCCUAAUGAGCUGUACAAGAAUUUAAAAUCCUUCCUCGUUGAUCCCUUAACUCCAUCUAAGCAAGAAAACCACAGCAAUGAUCACAAGGUGGGCCAGAAAGGUUGACCCUGAUGAGAAGAAAAACUUUUCAGCAUUGUGGAUAUGUAUGUUUCUCGAUUAUUUUAUCCAACGCCUAUGAGCCAUGCUGCGUUUUUUUCAUAUUUUAUUUUAUGUUGAGAAAAAGUGAGAACCUUCGUACUAUAUAUUUCUUCUACCAAUUCAAAGGAUCACAUAUUGUAGUGUG